GGAAUAAGAGAAACAAAAAUAAGCUUCUAACUUAAUUUUUUAGCGAUGCAAUUUCGUUAUUAUUCCU
rnacentral:tRNA from 1 species